UACAGAGGUCUCAAGCGUUGUUCGGAUUCAUUGGGCGUAAAGGGUGCGUAGGCGGCGCGGUAAGUCGGGUGUGAAAUCUCGGGGCUUAACUCCGAAACUGCAUUUGAUACUGCGGUGCUUGAGGACUGGAGAGGAGACUGGAAUUUACGGUGUAGCAGUGAAAUGCGUAGAUAUCGUAAGGAAGACCAGUGGCGAAGGCGGGUCUCUGGACAGUUCCUGACACUGAGGCAACGAAGGCC
rnacentral:rRNA from 1 species